rnacentral:rRNA from 1 species
GAUGAACGCUGGCGGCGUGCCUAAUACAUGCAAGUCGAGCGAAUGGAUUAAGAGCUUGCUCUUAUGAAGUUAGCGGCGGACGGGUGAGUAACACGUGGGUAACCUGCCCAUAAGACUGGGAUAACUCCGGGAAACCGGGGCUAAUACCGGAUAACAUUUUGAACCGCAUGGUUCGAAAUUGAAAGGCGGCUUCGGCUGUCACUUAUGGAUGGACCCGCGUCGCAUUAGCUAGUUGGUGAGGUAACGGCUCACCAAGGCAACGAUGCGUAGCCGACCUGAGAGGGUGAACGGCCACACUGGGACUGAGACCCGGCCCAGACUCCGAAGGGAGGCAGCAGUAGGGAAUCUUACGCAAUGGACGAAAGUCUGACGGAGCAACGCCGCGUUAGUGAUGAAGGCUUUCGGGUCGUAAAACUCUGUUGUUAGGGAAGAACAAGUGCUAGUUGAAUAAGCUGACACCUUGACGGUACCUAACCAGAAAGCCACGGCUAACUACGUGCCAGCCGCCGCAGUAA